UCGUGAUAAUCUCAUAAAAUAUCUAGAUUCAAUUUGGCAGAUGUGUGAAUCAGAACAAAUUGCUGGAACUGAAUAUAAAGAUACGCUGAAGGCCUUAUACAAUGAAACUCAAGAAUGGCUCCAAUCUGAAGAGAUAUCAGCAGAAUCGAUCCAAACUAAGCACGAGGAGUUGCAAGUUACUGUGCAAGAAAUCAAACAAAGUAUAAGCAAAAUGAAACAG